rnacentral:rRNA from 1 species
UACGGGGGGGGCAAGCGUUGUUCGGAAUUACUGGGCGUAAAGGGCGCGUAGGCGGCUUUUCAAGUCGGGCGUGAAAUCUCCGGGCUUAACCCGGAAGGGUCGUUCGAUACUGUUGAGCUAGAGUGUGGAAGAGGCAACUAGAAUUCCGUGUGUAGCGGUGAAAUGCGUAGAUAUACGGAGGAAUACCUGAGGCGAAGGCGGGUUGCUGGGCCGAUACUGACGCUGAUGCACGAAAGUGUGGGGAUCAAACAGG